AUUCAUAUAUAUGGUUGUUCCCGCUCCUUUCCUCAUAGGGGACUGGUGUGCAGUGGCUGCAAACAGCAGCCUCCUUGGUAGUGUUUGCAGCCUGUUGGUGGUGUAGGUUGCUCUAAGGGACCUUGGAGACAUUC